UGGGGAAUUUUGGACAAUGGGCGAAAGCCUGAUCCAGCAAUGCCGCGUGUGUGAAGAAGGCCUUCGGGUUGUAAAGCACUUUUGUCCGGAAAGAAAUCCUUGGCUCUAAUACAGUCGGGGGAUGACGGUACCGGAAGAAUAAGCACCGGCUAACUACGUGCCAGCAGCCGCGGUAAUACGUAGGGUGCAAGCGUUAAUCGGAAUUACUGGGCGUAAAGCGUGCGCAGGCGGUUUGCUAAGACCGAUGUGAAAUCCCCGGGCUCAACCUGGGAACUGCAUUGGUGACCGGCAGGCUAGAGUAUGGCAGAGGGGGGUAGAAUUCCACGUGUAGCAGUGAAAUGCGUAGAGAUGUGGAGGAAUACCGAUGGCGAAGGCAGCCCCCUGGGCCAAUACUGACGCUCAUGCACGAAAGCGUGGGGAGCAAACAGGAUUAGAUACCCUGGUAGUCCACGCCCUAAACGAUGUCAACUAGUUGUUGGGGAUUCAUUUCCUUAGUAACGUAGCUAACGCGUGAAGUUGACCGCCUGGGG
rnacentral:rRNA from 1 species